CUACAGAGUAUUUGAAAUGAAGCACAAAAUCCUGGCUGAACUAGAAAAGCUAUUACUUUAUUUGGCACAUUGACAAAAUCAAUCCUUGAUGAAGCCUAUGAACUGACACCUGAGUAAAUCAACCUCAGGUGUUCUUGGAAACAUUAUUUUGUAGAGGAGGAAAGCACCUCUUUGUUUUCUGCUUUGUAUUUCCAAUCCUGAUCUUCUGCCAGAGAAAGCACUCCUACCAGAAAUGCUGAUUCAUGAUGUUGAGAGAAGAUAGAAAUGACACAACUGAGGGGAAGAGGGAGAAGGAGUUCAGCUACACGUGUUGCUCCCCAGCCUCUAUCUCUGUCUGUUCAGCCUGUUCUCUGCUGCAUUCAGUAUCAGUAGGAUACAAGAGUGGCCAGAUGCUGGCCAAUGAGACUGUCUACAGAAAAGAGAUGAAGAGCAGAGAGAUGUGCACCCUUCAGUAGAAGACUGAAAAGCACCCAGCGUUGAGAAAGUACCACUGAGGGACAUGGAGAUGAAACCAGCAUAGUCCAGAGUCUGUUCCAUGGCUCUCUUCUCCAGAAGUGAUUAGAUUCUGUUGCUUCAACAAGUCUGAGGGAGGUGUGUUCAAGAAAACUGAUGCAGACUUCAUUACUGGAAGCAAGUGUUGAUCAAGUGAUACAGCAGACAGACAACAUUUCACUUGCAGAAUUGCAGUACAACAAAGAAGCUACAUCUUUCUGGUUAUUUUCAACAUUUCUUUUCUAAACAGAUGACUGGCAGAUGAUUUCUGCCUACUCUAUCUACAUCAAGCAGAGAAGUGUGGACACUGUUGAGAAUCCGCUGAUCUAAGCUCUGCAGAGCUCAUGCAGCUCUAUACAUUUAAUACAUUACUUGAUGCUGUCAGUGUAAUGACUCCCAUCACAUUUGCUCACCACUGGCUUGAUCACUAGCUUUAGCCUCAGGAAAAUUUAUUUUGGGAUUCCUUUUCUCUUCACUGCCAAUGGCCGUGACUGUAUUGCUACUGGUGUCUGGAGAAGCACAAGGAAAUGCCACCUGUAAAGAUCUAUGGAGGUCAUAUAAUAUAAUCCUAAAAGCCAUCUAAGGAGUAGAGGAUAGCAGCUAUACUGUCCAGAGGGCAGUACUGAUAUCUGGUUUGUAUAUUAAGCUAGAAGAUUCUUCCUGGAAAAGAACUGUAUAAGGAGAAAGGGAACUGAAAUUUAGCCAUGGAGCAAAGUCUGAACAAAUCUAAUGAGAACUGCAAUUGCAUCCUUGGUGAGCAAG
ensembl:lncRNA